CGCGUUUUCCAUUCACUACACAGGGCCGGCCCGUGGCAUAGGCCGUAUAGGCAAAUGCUAAGGGCGCCGUCCAUCAGGGGGCGCCACGCCAGUGCCACAAAUGUUGAAAAAAAAAAAAGUUGGUACUAUUAUUUCUAAAUACAAAAAAUAAUCCCACGUUAAUUAAAAUGCAAAGUAAAGCUUAUUUAAUAGAAAUAUUAUUUGUUACAACAUUACGCCCCCCCCUCCCCGCACGGUGCGCCCCCUCCCUUCCCGUAUCAUGGUUCCUUUUGGACGUCACCACAUCAAAAAAUCAACACAAGAUGUCAAAACGGCCAAAACUGUCAGGUGCCCAGGGAAGAAAAAAGAGAAAAGAAGAGGAGGAGAAACGAGAAAAAGACAGAGAUGCACUGUUGAAGUUUCUAAAUCCCACCCCUGGGCCAUCUACCACAUCUACCGCUGCUGCCUCCACCUCAGCAGCACAACCCACCAGUUUUGCAGCAGCAUCAAGCGGUGUUAUUGUAUUUCAUAUAUUCAUUUUUUUAUUUUUUGUAUUCAUUUAUUUAUUCAUAUAUUUUUUUAUCUUGUUAAUUAUUCUGAUUGUGAAUUUGCUUUCUUUAAGU